UACGUGGGGUGCGAGCGUUGUCCGGAAUUAUUGGGCGUAAAGAGCUCGUAGGCGGCUUGUCGCGUCGGAUGUGAAAGCCCGGGGCUUAACUCCGGGUCUGCAUUCGAUACGGGCAGGCUAGAGUUCGGUAGGGGAGAUCGGAAUUCCUGGUGUAGCGGUGAAAUGCGCAGAUAUCAGGAGGAACACCGGUGGCGAAGGCGGAUCUCUGGGCCGAUACUGACGCUGAGGAGCGAAAGCGUGGGGAGCGAACAGG
rnacentral:rRNA from 1 species